AUAAUGAUACUUCUAUCCAGCCACAGUCCGAGCGUUAAAAGCGUCGCAGGCAAUGGGGAUAGCCCGGACGGAUGUCGGGGAGGUGAAAUUCCUAUG
rnacentral:ncRNA from 1 species